UGGGUCCCUGGAGUUUUCACCCCACUGCUGACUGCCGAGGGACCCCAGCCUUGCUCUGUGAUCUGGAGAAAGACUCUUCCUGCUGAGAUAGAACAUCAGGCCACCAUGGGCAGUGGGUCUCUGAGACAAUGAAUAAAAAUGCUGAAGCAAAAACAGACCUUAAAAGGAGGUGAACUUUCAUUGCACAGUAUUUCUGACAGCUUGUUCCUGAGCAAAGCAACUGGUGUCCCUGGGGACUCAUUCAACAUUCAUUCGAAUCAUGGAGAAAGAGACCCAGUUUGGAAGAUGUUUUUCUGGAGUACAGAGGGGGACUUUGAUCCUAGCUCAGAUAACAGCUGCUCUCCCUGAGAGGAUUUUCUGGUCGUUCUAUCCCUCAGGCCAGGUGUGAAGUGAGGCAUUGGCUGCAGUAAAAAUAGCUGCGAAGAGAAGAAAAAGAAAGAUGCCUCUCAGUUAGUCUUCAAGCCAUCUUGCAUUCUUGAAAAAAAACCUUCCUAGAUCCCUUGGGAAUAUGUGUUCAAUGACCUACAAUCUGAAGUGAAGCCUGGCAAUACCAAGGGCAUCUUCAGCUGAUUCUUUUUAACAAAUCAAGAGACAGAACCUUGAGGGAGAGGAGGUAUUUUUCAUUUGUUUCAUGGAAGCCACCUUCCUUUGAGU